AAAACAACUGUCUCAGAAUCUGCAACAUAUCCUCAUACACUACUAACAGUCCUUGCAUCUGACAAAGAUUCUGGUGAAUUUGGAAAUAUUGAAUAUUCUGUAUCAGGAGAUGGUAGUGAUGUUUUUGAUAUUGAUAAAAAAUCAGGCACAAUACAAAUUCGUGAAAAUAUAACACUUGAUAGAGAAAAACAGGCAUCUUAUAAUCUUCAAGUUAUUGCUAAUGAUAGUCCAAAUAUAAUAGCUAAUCAAAGAAGAACAUCAGUUUUGGUGGUAAUAUCAUUAUUGGAUGUGAAUGACAAUGCUCCUGUCUUUAGUCAACCAUUAUAUACUGCAGUGGUGCCUGAAAAUGUGCCAACAGAUUUUAGCAUUAUAACCGUUAAAGCCACUGAUGCAGAUGAAGGAAGAAAUAAAGAAAUACAAUACACAAUUGUAGAAGAUAUGAUUUCUGAACC